CUUGUGGGAGUUGAUCUCAUGAAAGUUGAUCUCAUGUGAGGCAAUCGUACAGCCACCAGACUGUGGCAUUAAAGAGCAAACAAGACGGUCAAGAUCAUCCACCCUUCAGGAGAGGAGGAAAGCCUCUUCACUGAUGGCAACACUCAGCGGCUCUAUCCAAACGGGGACCUUGUGAUACAGUUCGCUAAUGGACAGAGAGAGCUACACACUAAGGAAUAUAAGCUCCUGUGUUAGCCUCCUUCAAUGGCCUCCCCUUCGAGGAAGUGCGGCCUGGGAUCAGAGGCUAUACUCCUGGGUAAUACCUCUACUGUGAAUACACAACUACAAUGUAUUAGUUUUGCUGUUGUAACACUUUUAGAGAAUUAUAUCUUUGGAGGAAUAUUUCAUCAUUAUCUUGCUCAGCUUCAAA